CAUACUCUCUUUUCUUUCGAAGAAGGCAAGAUCCUUUCUUUGGUGCCAAUCUGUUACUGCAAGACUUUGAAAAGAUGCUGAUAUGGUUGGAGCUGGGCAUCAUCUGAGAUUCAUGACAUCAGAGAAAAUCUAUAAGAAAAGUCCACACUCAUCAGGGAUGUUCCAAUGGAGGAUCCUUCGAUGCUUAAGUUAGUCAGAGCUUGAAAACUGUAGAAAAAGAGGGAGGGGGGGG
rnacentral:lncRNA from 1 species